rnacentral:rRNA from 1 species
AUUGAACGCUGGCGGCAGGCCUAACACAUGCAAGUCGAGCGGAUGAAGUGAGCUUGCUCCUGGAUUCAGCGGCGGACGGGUGAGUAAUGCCUAGGAAUCUGCCUGUUAGUGGGGGAUAACGUCCGGAAAUGGGCGCUAAUACCGCAUACGUCCUGAGGGAGAAAGUGGGGGAUCUUCGGACCUCACGCUAUCAGAUGAGCCUAGGUCGGAUUAGCUAGUUGGUGGGGUAAAGGCCUACCAAGGCGACGAUCCGUAACUGGUCUGAGAGGAUGAUCAGUCACACUGGAACUGAGAAACGGUCCAGACUGCUAAGGGAGGCAGCAGUGGGGAAGAUUGGACAAUGGGCGAAAGACUGAUCCAGACAUGGCGCGUGUGUGAAGAAGGUCAUAGGAAUGUAAAGCACUUUAAGUAGGGAGGAAGGGCAGUAAGUAAAUACCUGGCUGUUUUGACGUCACCAAAAGAAUAAGAACCGGCUAACUUCGUG